CCUCGGAGGAAAACAUAACUUAACGUCAUGGAUCCCUCUGCACCUAAAAUAAUAAAGUUUGGCUAUAAGGAUUACAUAUCUGACCAGGCAAAGAAGAAAC